ACGCCACUCACCAUUUCUAUCUGUGGUUUGCAUUCCAGUUCGCCUGUAGAGCCAUGUCGAGAUUCCCCUGUUUGACUCUGUUUCCGGAUCUAGGAGCUUGAAUUGUUGAGUUCCCGCUCACUCUACUCUUAUCGGUGUGCUUCUUCGUCAUUGACACCUCAAAGGAUCUCUACUCUUAUAUUUGCUCACUGGCCGAGGGGGUAUAUUCGUUUCGAAC
rnacentral:lncRNA from 1 species